CAGUCGCCGCGGUAAUACAGAGGGUGCGAGCGUUAAUCGGAUUUACUGGGCGUAAAGCGUGCGUAGGCGGCUAAUUGAGUCGGAUGUGAAAUCCCUGAGCUUAACUUGGGAAUUGCAUUCGAUACUGGUUAGCUAGAGUGUUGGAGAGGAUGGUAGAAUUCCAGGUGUAGCGGUGAAAUGCGUAGAGAUCUGUAGGAAUACCGAUGGCGAAGGCAGCCAUCUGGCCUAACACUGACGCUGAGGUACGAAAGCAUGGGGAGCAAACAGGAUUAGAUACCCCUGUAGUCCCUGUCUCUUAUAC
rnacentral:rRNA from 1 species